AUUCUUUAAGUAUAACUAGUACAACUGACUUCCAAUCAGUUAGCUUCGGUAAUAUCCGAAAAAGAAUA
rnacentral:tRNA from 1 species